AGCGGUGAAAUGCGUAGAGAUCGGGAGGAAUACCAGUGGCGAAGGCGGCCUUCUGGACUGACACUGACGCUGAGGUGCGAAAGCGUGGGUAGCAAACAGGAUUAGAUACCCUGGUAGUCCACGCCGUAAACGAUGUCGACUAGCCGUUGGGGUCCUCGAGACCUUUGUGGCGCAGUUAACGCGAUAAGUCGACCGCCUGGGGAGUACGGCCGCAAGGUUAAAACUCAAAUGAAUUGACGGGGGCCCGCACAAGCGGUGGAGCAUGUGGUUUAAUUCGAUGCAACGCGAAGAACCUUACCUACUCUUGACAUCGAGCGAACUUUCCAGAGAUGGAUUGGUGCCUUCGGGAACGCUCAGACAGGUGCUGCAUGGCCGUCGUCAGCUCGUGUUGUGAAAUGUUGGGUUAAGUCCCGUAACGAGCGCAACCCUUGUCCCUAUUUGCCAGCGAUUCGGUCGGGAACUCUAGGGAGACUGCCGGUGACAAACCGGAGGAAGGUGGGGACGACGUCAGGUCAUCAUGGCCCUUACGAGUAGGGCUACACACGUGCUACAAUGGCCGGUACAAUGGGCUGCAAUCCCGCGAGGGGGAGCUAAUCUCAUAAAGCCGGUCUCAGUCCGGAUCGGAGUCUGCAACUCGACUCCGUGAAGUCGGAAUCGCUAGUAAUCGUGCAUCAGAAUGGCACGGUGAAUACGUUCCCGGGCCUUGUACACACCGCCCGUCACACCAUGGGAGUGGACUGCACCAGAAGUGGUUAGCCUAACUUCGGAGGGCGAUC
rnacentral:rRNA from 1 species